rnacentral:rRNA from 1 species
UCGGGUGAAGCGGUGAAUUCAAGCCCCGGUAAACGGCGGUGGUAACUAUAACCAUCCUAAGGUAGCGAAAUUCCUUGUCGGGUAAGUUCCGACCUGCACGAAUGGCGUAACGACUUCCCCACUGUCUCGGCCAGGAGCUCGGCGAAAUUGCAGUACGAGUAAAGAUGCUCGUUAAGCGCAGAAGGACGAAAAGACCCCGGGACCUUUACUAUACCUUGGUAUUGUCGUUAGGUGUGGACUGUGUAGCAUAGGCGGGAGGCUUCGAAGCGGGUGCGCCAGCAUUCGUGGAGCCGUCAUUGAAAUACCGCUCUGUCCUCAUCUGGCGUCUAACCUCGAUGUGUCAUCCGCAUCAGGGACAGUGCCUGGCGGGUAGUUUAACUGGGGCGGUUGCCUCCCAAAGAGUAACGGAGGCGCUCAAAGGUCCGCUCAGCCCGGUUGGCAAUCGGGUGUCGAGUGUAAUCGCACAAGCGGGCUUGACUGUGAGAACGACGGUUCGAGCAGGGACGAAAGUCGGAGAUAGUGAUCCGGUGCCGGCGCACGGGCGCGGCAUCGCUCAACGGAUAAAAGGUACCCCGGGGAUAACAGGCUGAUCAUUCCCAAGAGUCCAUAUCGACGGGAUGGUUUGGCACCUCGAUGUCGGCUCGUCGCAUCCUGGGGCUGGAGCAGGUCCCAAGGGUUCGGCUGUUCGCCGAUUAAAGCGGCACGCGAGCUGGGUUCAGAACGUCGUGAGACAGUUUGGUCUCUAUCCUCUGCGCUCGUUGGAAUCUUGAGGAGUCCUGCCCAUAGUACGAGAGGACCUGGGUGGACGAACCUCUGGUAUGCCGGUUGUCACGCCAGUGGCAUGGCCGGUUGGCUACGUUCGGAUGGGAUAACCGCUGAAAGCAUCUAAGCGGGAAGCCUUCUCCAAGAUAAGGAUUCCUUCACGCC